GAGUGUUGUCAAAUUGAACACUCCAAACAAUACGAAAAUAUCUGAUCAAGCUAGUCUAAGCAUUGUAAAACUUGUGCUCCUAUGAAAGCAUGAUAAAUCUGGAACUUCAAGGACCCAAACUUUCAAGCAGAACUAACAGUGCAGCCAACAAAUGAAAAAAGAGAACCUUGUGCUCGACCUGUCGAGUAGACCUAAGUUCUCUUACUGACCC
rnacentral:lncRNA from 1 species